rnacentral:lncRNA from 7 species
UUUUUGUUUUUUUGCUCGCGCGCGAUUGAUGGAGUCAUUGUGGAUCGUACCGAGUGAUCAUCUCUGCUAGUCGGUCUGGUUCUGGUGGUGGUACUGGUGUGUCGCUUCUAGCAGCUACUGCUGAUCUAGCUAGGAACUGAACAGGAUAACAGAAACGUAUAGUAGUCCUUCAUGCGACGCGAACAGUAGUACGGGUCAAUUCUUGUGAGGCAAAUCUCGCGUCAUCAACCUUUACAAAAGGAAGCAGCACAGCGCGCUCCGUACAGGAGAAGCCCUAGUCUAGUCGGGCGAUCGAGCAUAAUGUAAGGUCACCCUCACCGCGUGUAACAGUCACUAAUAGACACAAUAAUAACUACUACAUGGUGGAUGGAGCAGCUGCAGACCAAUGAUAC